UGGCUCUGGCAUCGAUGAAGAACGCAGCGAAAUGCGAUAAGUAAUGUGAAUUGCAGAAUUCAGUGAAUCAUCGAAUCUUUGAACGCACAUUGCGCCCGCCAGUAUUCUGGCGGGCAUGCCUGUCCGAGCGUCAUUUCAACCCUCAAGCCCCCGGGCUUGGUGUUGGAGAUCGGCGAGCCGUCUCCCAAAUUUAGUGGCGGUCUCGCUGUAGCUUCCUCUGCGUAGUAGCACACCUCGCACUGGGAAACAGCGUGGCCACGCCGUAAAACCCCCCACUUCUGAAAGGUUGACCUCGGAUCAGGUAGGAAUACCCGCUGA
rnacentral:misc_RNA from 1 species